UACGUAGGGGGCGAGCGUUGUCCGGAUUUAUUGGGCGUAAAGAGCGUGUAGGCGGCCAGGUAGGUCUGCUGUGAAAACUCGAGGCUCAACCUCGAGACGUCGGCGGAAACCAUCUGGCUAGAGUCCGGAAGAGGAGAGUGGAAUUCCUGGUGUAGCGGUGAAAUGCGUAGAUAUCAGGAGGAACACCGGUGGUGUAAACGGCUUUCUGGACCAUAACUGACGCUGAGGCACGAAAGCGUGGGUAGCAAACAGG
rnacentral:rRNA from 1 species